rnacentral:rRNA from 1 species
GCAGUCGAACGGGCAUAGCAAUAUGUCAGUGGCAGACGGGUGAGUAACGCGUGGGAACAUACCUCUUGGUUCGGAACAACACAGGGAAACUUGUGCUAAUACCGGAUAAGCCCUUACGGGGAAAGAUUUAUCGCCGAGAGAUUGGCCCGCGUCUGAUUAGCUAGUUGGUGUGGUAAAGGCGCACCAAGGCGACGAUCAGUAGCUGGUCUGAGAGGAUGAUCAGCCACAUUGGGACUGAGACACGGCCCAAACUCCUACGGGAGGCAGCAGUGGGGAAUAUUGGACAAUGGGCGCAAGCCUGAUCCAGCCAUGCCGCGUGAGUGAUGAAGGCCUUAGGGUUGUAAAGCUCUUUUGUACGGGAAGAUAAUGACGGUACCGUAAGAAUAAGCCCCGGCUAACUUCGUGCCAGCA